UGACGUCUAAUUUAAAGCUCACAUUUUCUUCUUGUUGAUAUUGAACAUUUUGGAUUCAUGGUGGCUGAGUGCUAAAGUGCUUGGCUUCCUAACCGAGGGGGUCUCAGGUUUCAAUCCAGUUGAAGAUGGGAUUUUGAAUUUCAGGAUCUUUAGGGCACCUCUGAGUACACCCAGCUCUAAUGGGUAUCUGCCAUUAGCUGGGGUGGGAAAGUAAAGGGAACUGGUUGUACUGGCCACAUGACCUUUCAUCUGCCCAGUAGAUCACAAGGUCUGAAAAGAGUACUUUUCUUAUUGCCCAUUUUAAGGCAGGUUAAUAUAAACAAUCUAAUAUAAACAAAUCUAUUAUUAAAUAUACAAACAAUUU